AACGAACGCUGGCGGCAGGCUUAACACAUGCAAGUCGAGCGCCCCGCAAGGGGAGCGGCAGACGGGUGAGUAACGCGUGGGAACGUACCCUUUGCUACGGAAUAGCUCCGGGAAACUGGAAUUAAUACCGUAUGUGCCCUACGGGGGAAAGAUUUAUCGGCAAAGGAUCGGCCCGCGUUGGAUUAGCUAGUUGGUGGGGUAAUGGCCUACCAAGGCGACGAUCCAUAGCUGGUCUGAGAGGAUGAUCAGCCACAUUGGGACUGAGACACGGCCCAAACUCCUACGGGAGGCAGCAGUGGGGAAUAUUGGACAAUGGGCGCAAGCCUGAUCCAGCUAUGCCGCGUGGAUGAAGAAGGCCUUCGGGUUGUAAAGUCCUUUCGGCGGGGAAGAUAAUGACGGUACCCGCAGAAGAAGCCCCGGCUAAUUUCGUGCCAGCCGCCGCGGUAAAAC
rnacentral:rRNA from 1 species